rnacentral:rRNA from 1 species
GACGAACGCUGGCGGCGUGCCUAAUACAUGCAAGUUGAGCGCUGAAGGUUGGUCCUUGUACCAACUGGAUGAGCAGCGGACGGGUGAGUAACGCGUGGGUAAUCUGCCUUUGAGCGGGGGACAACAUUUGGAAACGAAUGCUAAUACCGCAUAAAAUCUUUAAACACAAGUUUUAAGUUUGAAAGAUGCAAUUGCAUCACUCAAAGAUGAUCCCGCGUUGUAUUAGCUAGUUGGUUAGGUAAAGGCUCACCAAGGCGAUGAUACAUAGCCGACCUGAGAGGGUGAUGGGCCACAUUGGGACUGAGACACGGCCCAAACUCCGACGGGAGGGAGCAGUAGGGAAUCUUCGGCAAUGGACGAAAGUCUGAACGAGCAACGCCGCGGGAGUGAAGAAGGGUGUCGGAUCGGAAAACUCUGUUGGUAGAGAAGAACGAUGGUGAGAGUGGAAAGCUCAUCAAGUGACGGUAACUACUCAGAAAGGGACGGCUAACUACGUG